UGCAGCGUGAAUGAGGUCGUGUAUUUGUGAAUGAGGCAAAGUCUAAAAAGGAAGGAGAGAAGAAUUAAAAGCAGUGCAGCAGAAAAAGGAAAAGACAGCGUGAUUGACCGUUCUGUAGCAGACAGUCAGCCAGCCAUGGUGACGUGACGUUGUUUCCAUCUGGUUCAGAUCAGGGCACGUGUGAGGAGGAGUCAGAGGAAGUGCAGAUGCCAGCGUUCGUCACUCGGUCGUGGGACAGGAUGCAGUUAACACCUUUCUGCCUGAUGCUGACCUGCCUUCGGGUCCACCCGGACCGGGCCCAGUUCUUCCGGUACGACAACGUCACGCUGAGCUGCCAGGACGCGCGGGCGCCCGACUCCAGCGGGUGGACGGUGAGGAGGGAGACGGUGGAGGGGGGGGUGCGGCGCUGCUCGUCCGGCUGGGGCGUCACCUCCUCGGGCUCCACCUGCGUCAUCAGAACCACCUACCCCACGGACAGCGGGCUGUACUGGUGCGAGUCAGAGGACGGGGAGCGGAGCAAUGGCGUCAACAUCACCAUCACGGACCGGGCCGUGAUCCUGGAGAGCCCCGGGCUCCCGGUGCCGGAGGCCUCGGCCGUGAGCCUGCGCUGCAGAGCGGACUCCAACUCCACCGGCCACGUCUUCAGCUUCUACAGGGACGGGCGGCACAUCGGCAGCAGCUCCACGGCGGCGCUGAGCAUCGGCAGCGCCGCCCGCUCCCACCAGGGCCUCUACACCUGCAGCGUGAGAGGAGCGGCGUCGGCCGGCAGCUGGCUCCACGUGGAGGGUGCUAGUGGGGCCACAGACGCGCGGCCUUUAAGCAGAGCCGCCACCGCUUUGCCUCCCAGUGCUGCAGCUCCACUUUCCACCUCAAACGCCACCUCGCCUCCCGCUGCCUCCGCGUGUGUGACGUCUGUGAUCCGGCUCUCAUGUUACCUGGUGGUGGGGCCGCUUUACCUGCUGUCCACCGUCGUCCUGGGCCUCACAUGCAGGAACAGGAAGAAAGGUGCUGGCGCCUCUCUACUGUAGCUCAUCAGUGUAACUUUAGCACCAGCGUUAGUCUUAGAGAAGGUAUGAAGAAAGAGGCUCCAGCUGUUCUCCACUGAUCAGUAAUUAAACGAGGUUCAGCAGAUCAGGGAGCUGUUGACAGAACAGGCAGCACCGUCGUCGUGGAAGUAGUGGUGUGAUGCCACAAACGGAUCAGAACCGGCCGGGAGGCGACUGGACCGACCACCAGAAGAGGAGUCUGUUCAGAGCAGAGUUUGACAGCGAAGCUCAGUCAGUUCAAGGUCAGAGAAGAGUGUCGUCGAUUGUUGACUCCACUGAGACGCCAUUCACUCUAUUCUCUGAAUAUGAAGGGAAUAUUUACAUUUUGACCUUUAUUAGGCUGAUUUGUGUCUUAGUGCUCUCUAUGGGACAUACACACAUCAACUAAUCAGUAAUUAUCAGCCGGGGUCGUCUGUUUUUGACCUGGUACUUUGACUGAAAAUGUUUUAAUAAAAGUGUUUUUGGGCCUAAA